rnacentral:rRNA from 1 species
UACAGAGGUCUCAAGCGUUGUUCGGAUUCAUUGGGCGUAAAGGGUGCGUAGGCGGCGCGGUAAGUCGGGUGUGAAAUCUCGGAGCUUAACUCCGAAACUGCAUUCGAUACUGCCGUGCUUGAGGACUGGAGAGGAGACUGGAAUUUACGGUGUAGCGGUGAAAUGCGUAGAUAUCGUAAGGAAGACCAGUGGCGAAGGCGGGUCUCUGGACAGGUUCCUGACGCUGAGGCACGAAGGUCAGGGGAGCAAACAGG